CCUACGGGGUGCUGCAGUGGGGAAUAUUGGACAAUGGGCGAAAGCCUGAUCCAGCCAUGCCGCGUGUGUGAAGAAGGCCUUCGGGUUGUAAAGCACUUUCAGUGGGGAAGAAAGCCUUGGGGCUAAUACCCUCGAGGAAGGACAGCACCCACAGAAGAAGCACCGGCUAACUCCGUGCCAGCAGCCGCGGUAAUACGGAGGGUGCGAGCGUUAAUCGGAAUUACUGGGCGUAAAGCGCGCGUAGGCGGUCUGAUAAGCCGGUUGUGAAAGCCCCGGGCUCAACCUGGGAACGGCAUCCGGAACUGUCAGGCUAGAGUGCAGGAGAGGAAGGUAGAAUUCCAGGUGUAGCGGUGAAAUGCGUAGAGAUCGGGAGGAAUACCAGUGGCGAAGGCGGCCUUCUGGACUGACACUGACGCUGAGGUGCGAAAGCGUGGAUAGCAAACAGGAUUAGAUACCCCUGUAGUC
rnacentral:rRNA from 1 species